AAAAGGAAACGGAGGAGUGAAACAGAAAGUGAAGAGGGGAAAACGGAAGGAGGAGGGGGAAGAAGGAGGACGGCUAGGAGGGGGAGCAUCGUGGUUGAGAUCUGUAAGGGGGCACCGGUGUCGUGGUGUGGGAGGUGUGAAGCUCGACAAGUCGCGGAAGAGGUAUGUAGAGUGUUAGAUUCUAAUUUGGGUAAAGGGUAUGGGUGAUGGGUACGGUAGAGGAUGAAGGGGAGAAGAUCGGAAAUAGAUCCGAUCUUGAUAAACCUACUCAAGGAUGAUAAUGUAGUAUAAGGACAGCGGGGUACUCAAAUCACUUGAGUCACUCGAUCCAAGGGUUUACCAACUUUUGGUUAUGUUGACCACUUGAUCUUGGUUGGGAUGGUUACCUUAAGUGGUGGUUGAUUAUAUUGUAAUUACUACCCAUUUUAAUUGCUGCUUAGAGUUAUGGUAGAAUGUAACUCUUGCAGUCUAUUUUAUUGGGGAUCUAUUGUGUGAUUGGUUGAUUUAAGUGAUGAAGGAUUGCUACCUCUACGCUGUGAAUGUCUAUAUUGUAUUUACUGCCAUUUUAAAAUUGUUGUUUAGUGUUUUACCAUCUGUAAUUCUUGCUGUCCAUUUUAUCGGGGGUCUUUUCUCUUAUCGUUUUGCUCUAGGUGAGGAAAAGUACUACCGGAAGACAUGUUAGAUUAGCAUAAGAGCUAAUCUAUUGUUUUUCUUUGCUGUCCAUUGUGAUUUCAGUAGUAUCCUCUUGCUGUCCAUUUUAUUUGAGGUCUUUUCUCUUAUCGUUUUGCUCUAGGUGAGGAAAAGUAUUACCGGAAGACAUGUUAGAUUAGCAUAAGAGCUAAUCUAUUGUUUGUUUUUGCUGUCUAUUGUGAUUUCAGUAGUAUCUUCUUGCUGUCCAUUUUAUUAGGGGUCUAUUCUCUUAUUGUUUUGCUCUAGGUGAUGAAAAACACUACCGGAAUGCAUGUUAGAUUAACAUAGGAGCUAAUCUAUUUCUUUUUAUUGUUGUAUAUAGUGAUUUCCGUAGUAUCUUGUUGCUGUCCAAUCUUAUUGGGGUGCCUAUUAAAUUAUUGUUUGUUUUAAGUGAUGAAAACACUAAGGGAAUGCAUGUUGGGAUGGCAUAGGAGCUAAUUAUAGUGUGGGGUGGUUCCAUUAUAUAUUUUAUUGCGAAAUUUAGAUGAAAAGGAUGAUAUGGGGGUGCAUAGUUGGUUGACACAUAUGUUAAAUAUCAUGUGGGCUGUUUUGGGGUAAUUAUGCUACUAUUUUUAGAUGAUGCCAAAUUGUAGCAAACAGGAUAUUUAUCAUGUGAGUGGGUUGUAGUAUUUAUGUUGCUGUUUUUAAUGACGAAAAUGCUAUCGGGUACAUGUUUGAAUUGCAUAUAAGAUAAUUAUCACGUGGGCUGGUUUGAUUAAUUAUUUUUGUUUUAAAUAAUGAACAUGUUAUCGGGGCCAUGUGUUAGUAAUUAAGAUAAUUAUCUUGUGGGUUGUUUCGAAUACUUGUUGUUGUUUUAAAAUGAUAAUAGUAUUAGAGGGGAAAUAUACAUGAAUGGACAAGAGAAUAAGAAUAGCAUUGUAUGUAUGAAUGAGAUUCAUCAAUGAAUGAAAGUAUGAAUGAAAUAUGACAGGGGUGUUAUGACGCCUAACGAAUGACGAGUGAUGAUCCAUUAGGGGCAUGAAUGAUGAUUGAUUGGUAUCAUCAGAUUGAAUAUUAUAUAUACAUGUAUUAUGUUAAUUGCUAUUGUUAUUACUUGUUGGAACCUAUACUUUACAUGCUGAGUAAUGUAGUCACUCACGGAUACAUGACCUGUGCAGGGAAUGGAGGCAACUUUGCCUAACUGGAGGGGUAGGAGACAAAGGACUCGUCGAGGUGUCGGCGUAGGGGGUGACGCGAAGUAGUCGUGUCAUUGACUAUUUUUUGUUGUAAUAAGGAUCGUAUUAGGUCCCCGAACACAAAGUAGUUGUAGUAUUGUAUUAGUUGUAGAUUCUAUUUUGUCAUCAUGUGAACUUUCCUUCGAGAGGAAUCUAUGUUAAUCGUUUGAUGAAAAUUAAAACCAAUGUGCAGAGCAGGGUUUUACAUCACCUAUCUAAGAUCAUACACAAUUCGAUUAACCCAUGUUGGUUACACACACUAUUAAUGUGGCUUAAAGUUUAAAAUUUGAGUUUU
rnacentral:lncRNA from 1 species